GCCAGCAUGGCAUAGUGGUUUGAGUGUUGGACUACAACUCUGGAGACCGGGGUUCGAUUCCCCACUUGGUCA